UUAAAAAGAACACGAGUUAUUGCUGGGGAGGGUCAUCUUCGGGAUUAUCUUCGGUUUUGUCCUCAUCAUCCGAAGAGUCCAGGAGGUAUGCGUUCAGUGCAACGUACAACAUUAAGUUUGGCUUUAUUUUUAUUCCGAGCAGCCUCGUAUCCUUCGGAGUACAUUUGUAUGAUUUCGUUAGUGAGCUCUGUUGACUUUCGGUAGUCAUUUUGGAUCUGGUUUCGUAAUUCUUUGAUUAAUAUAGGGCCGAGGGUUUUGUAAUCAUUGAGUUCUUUUUUCCAAAGCGGUACGAAUUUUCUUCUCCUUUUUCAUUAAUCUAGAACGUGUCGAGUGAGGGUUUGGCUGUUCUGCUUCAACACUUAUUUUCUUUUGUGACUUCGUUACAUUUAUCGUCAGCAUUUUUCUGGUGUGCUUCAGACGUUGCUGCUUCCUCUUUCAGUUUGGCAUUGUCAGAUUUGAUUUCCUCACAGACCAAGGUGGCUUUGUUGUGGAGGCUUUUUUCCUUGGCCAAGGCAGUCUUCAGCAGUGCAACUUCUGUUCGAACAGUUGUUUCUUCUGCUUUAAUGUCUUUAUAUCUUUCAACAAGGUGUCUGGAGAUUGCGGCAGCCUGCGGGAUGUUAGUUUUCAGUUAAAGGUUGUCUGAGAGGGAAGAGGAUUCAGGGAAAUUAUAGUUUGAGUUAAGGGAAGUUUACCCGGCCUUGGUGCAUCAUAGCAGCAAAGAUGAGUUCGGUGGUUGUUAUGUCGGCAAAGUGGUUGUCGUCGGCUGGAAGGACAAAAUGCUCGAAGAGGUUGAUGGGGUACUUUUCGCUGUUGUCUGACCAUAAGGUUGGGGAGCGGUUUUCUUCUGGAGUUCGGCUGGAAGAGGGUUGUCUUGGAGGAGAUGGGAGGGGAGGGGAAGGACGUUCGGGAGAAGCUGUUGUGUUGACCUUUUUGUUUGAGGGUUCAUGGUUAACAUUUUCGGGUUCCUUUCAUUUUUGACCUUGGUUUGAUAUGGGGUGGGCAGAGCUGGUUGGUAUGGCUUCGGUCGUUGGAAUGUUUUCAGUUUGAGGGGUUGAUGUUGAAGGAACCUUUAAUUUUUGGCUGAGAGUGGAAUGAUUUUGACACGCUUUUUCUUGAUUUGAAGAAUUUUUGUUCUUUCUGCAGUGGGCAUAUCAAGGAGUCUUUCUAUGGGAGUUUGGAUCAGGGUUGUUUUGGAUUUUUUGAUUGCCCUCUUCUUGAUUCGGCUACAGGUGGGUUCUUCGGUUGGGAUUUCAGGGAUGGAGGUUUCCGAAGUUGGGGGGUUGGUGGUUUCUUUUGGAGUUUUAUCAGAUAGGAAGUCUUCAACGUCUUUCCUAUCAAUGGUUGUUGGUUUGAUAAGUGUUAUUUUAGGUCAAAGAGUAUGAUAAGAUGGUGAGUGAAAUAGAAAAUGAAAUAAUUAAAUAUUAGGUUCGGCUACUCACAUUUGUGGUCGUAGAACUAGGCUUCUUUGGACAAAAGGAUGAAGCUCCACUCUUUUGUUGGUAGUUUCUCUAUCAGCUUUGCCAGUUCAAGUACCCAUACGGGAGUGGUGUCACCUAUGGAGACAUUCGAACGUUUGAAGGAGGCCCAUUCCGGGAGUUUGUGUGUUUCUGGUCCUUUGACGAAGAACCAAUCCUUGUGCCACCCUUUGUUGCUUGAGGGAGCGUCCAUUAAGGGGUGUUUUUCAAUCUUUGGGUUGGCUUUUGGUGGUUGUUUGCUUGAUCAGGACUUUGCACCCAGGUUCUCAGGAGUUUGUCAGUUGAUAUAAUGAAAAGAAAAAGUCUAUAGAUGGUAUUAUGCCGAUCUCAUGAUAGAAGGUGAUGAAGGCUAUGAUGUUGAUAUAGGAGUUCGACACUAAUCGGGCGAAUCUGAUGUUGAUAAACCCUAGGAGAGUAAGGAGGAAGGGGUGUAAGGGUAGCCGAAUGCCCUUCUCGAGUAGAGUAAGGGAAAUAAUGGUUCAACCAUUGGGAUGAAGGUACAUUCGAUCGGAAGCAGAAGGGGCUUUCAAUUGGUGGGUGUCUGGAAUGUGGUAGUGUUAGCGAAUGAUGAGGAGGUCUGAGUCAGUGAUGCGAGAGAGAGUGUUGGCAUGUGGGAAUUUUGUUUCAUUCGGGUAUUCUCGUAUCAUUUUUUGGAAGUCAGCUUCGUUUUUAGAGGGGACUGGAUUUUGAGUGGUCGUUUGGGUGGUGGUUGUGGCUACGAUAGUAGAAUUGGUUGUUACGGGAUGUUGGGGGUUUUGGUUGGUUGUGGAGGAAUCAGUGGUUGUUCUGGGAGGGGCUGGGAUGAUGGAUAGAGGAAUAGCGAUGAUAGUAUUCUGAGAUUCAAAUGGAGCAAAGAGUUGUUUGUUUUGGGGGAGGGGUUUGUUUUGUUUGGGGGAUAAAAUUUUAUGUGAUGACCCGAAAUUUUUUGCUUAAUUUAAGAAUUAAGUAUAAUCAAGGAUUUAGGUCACAAUGUAAAUAAGGAUAUAUUUUUUAUAGUUUGUGACUUAUGUGAAAUAUAUAUGGGAUUAAAU
rnacentral:lncRNA from 1 species